GCAAGUCGAACGGCAGCACAGUAAGAGCUUGCUCUUACGGGUGGCGAGUGGCGGACGGGUGAGGAAUACAUCGGAAUCUACUUUUUCGUGGGGGAUAACGUAGGGAAACUUACGCUAAUACCGCAUACGACCUACGGGUGAAAGCAGGGGAUCUUCGGACCUUGCGCGAUUGAAUGAGCCGAUGUCGGAUUAGCUAGUUGGCGGGGUAAAGGCCCACCAAGGCGACGAUCCGUAGCUGGUCUGAGAGGAUGAUCAGCCACACUGGAACUGAGACACGGUCCAGACUCCUACGGGAGGCAGCAGUGGGGAAUAUUGGACAAUGGGCGCAAGCCUGAUCCAGCCAUACCGCGUGGGUGAAGAAGGCCUUCGGGUUGUAAAGCCCUUUUGUUGGGAAAGAAAUCCAGCUGGUUAAUACCCGGUUGGGAUGACGGUACCCAAAGAAUAAGCACCGGCUAACUUCGUGCCAGCAGCCGCGGUAAUACGAAGGGUGCAAGCGUUACUCGGAAUUACUGGGCGUAAAGCGUGCGUAGGUGGUCGUUUAAGUCUGUUGUGAAAGCCCUGGGCUCAACCUGGGAACUGCAGUGGAAACUGGACGACUAGAGUGUGGUAGAGGGUAGCGGAAUUCCUGGUGUAGCAGUGAAAUGCGUAGAGAUCAGGAGGAACAUCCAUGGCGAAGGCAGCUACCUGGACCAACACUGACACUGA
rnacentral:rRNA from 1 species